GGGUCAGUAGGUUGGUCGUGCCACCGGUACGUACUGGUCUCACCGAUUCCUCCUUCCUGAAGAACCGUAAUGCCAUUAAUUUGGUGUUGCGGGGAAACAGGACUGUUACUUUGAAAAAAUUAGAGUGUUUAAAGCAAGCUAACGCUUGGAUACAUUAGCAUGGAAUAAUGAAAUAGGACGAUCGAUCCUAUUUUGUUGGUUUCUAGGAUUGACGUA
rnacentral:rRNA from 1 species